rnacentral:rRNA from 1 species
AUGCGGGCUCCAGGCAGCCAAGUGACCUAUAUUUCCCCUCUCGACGGCAGACCCGAUCCCCAUACUUCUAGGGUUCAUCGCCGCCCCCUUCGCCGCCAUGGCAACCAAAACUUAGUUUGGAUCCGUCGCGAUUUAUUCAUCUCUGGAAAUUUCUCGGCUGCCGAUUGUUUUCCUGCUGGUCCCUCUGAUCACCUCUUCGAGCCUAAGCAAUUUAGCUUCUCUCGAGAUUUCUGGUCGAAGAAGACAGGCAAAGUCCCCUUUGCUGCUGUAGCUAGGAAGAUGGCUGGAGCUGGACAAACUAGGCCCAGAGGAGGUAGGAGUGGAGGCGGCCGUGGUCGCAAUGAUGUUGUUCGGCCUCCUAUCCCUCCACCUGCCCCUCCGCCAGUGGCUGCGCCUCCGCUCCGUGCCCCUGAGCCCAACCCUUCCCCUAUAGCCACCUAG